rnacentral:misc_RNA from 1 species
GAUGAAGAACGCAGCGAAAUGCGAUAAGUAAUGUGAAUUGCAGAAUUCAGUGAAUCAUCGAAUCUUUGAACGCACAUUGCGCCCGCCAGUAUUCUGGCGGGCAUGCCUGUUCGAGCGUCAUUUCAACCAUCAAGCCCUGCUUGCGUUGGGGUCCUGCGGCUGCCCGCAGGCCCUGAAAACCAGUGGCGGGCUCGCUAGUCACACCGAGCGCAGUAAUACAUCUCGCUUUGGGCGUGCGGCGGGUCCUUGCCGUUAAACACCCCCUUUUUACCAAGGUUGACCUCGGAUCAGGUAGGAAUACCCGCUGAACUUAAGCAUAUCAAUAAGCGGAGGA